GGGGCCAGGCAGCCGUUAGACAGCACAACCGAACCCAACACCGGGGCCCAACGGCAGGGGCUUGGGCAGGAGCAAGGUCCGAGGGCUGCCAGGUCCACGCUGCUUUUAUGAGCUGUAACACUCACCGCGAAGAUCUGCAGCUUCACUCCUGAGCCCAGCGAGACCACGAGCCCACCGGGAGGAACAAACAACUCCAGACGCGCUGCCUUAAGAGCUGUAACACUUGCCGUGAAGGUCUGCAGCUUCACUCCUGAGCCAGCGAGACCACGAACCCACCAGAAGGAAGAAACUCCGAACACAUCUCAACAUCAGAACGGACAGACUCCAGACGCACCACCUUAAGAGCUGUAACACUCACCGCGAGGUUCCGCGGCUUCAUUCUUGAAGUCAGUAAGACCAAGAACCCACCAAUUCCGGACACAGUAGCAUUUGGGAAUAAUAAGAAUUGUAGCUGGGCAUGGUGGUACACGCCUGUAGACCCCUAGCAGCUGCCAUCAUCCUCACCAUCCGCAUAUUAUUGAUAUAUUAACUCUUUGAUGGCAACCAUAGCUUAUCCCCCUUAUCUCCCUAUGCCCUACAGCAGGGCAGUGGAAUGGUUAAGAGGCUUUGAAGUCUAAGAGUGCUGGCUUAAAACCCUAAUUUGUCAUUUUGGAUGUGUGGCUUUGGACACUUGGGGCAGGUCACCUAUGUUCUUCAAG
rnacentral:lncRNA from 1 species